rnacentral:lncRNA from 1 species
CUCAAGUGAUCCUCCCACUUUGGCCUCCCAAAGUGCUGGGAUUACAAGUGUGAGCCACCACGCCUGGCCUGCAUUUUAUUCCUGAUAGUUUUUGGUUGCUUGUUCAUCCUUGAGAGCCUGGGGCCUGAGGGAACUCACCACACUGGAGGGAAAGGCCAUGGGCAAGGUCUAAUGCUGUGCUGGCUUCAGGUCUGACCCAGCUUAGUCCCAUUGGUGGUGGUCACAGGGGUGCUUGGAUCACCAUACCCUCAGUUCCAGGUGGCUCAGCAAAGAGAGAUAGAGAUUCCAUUUGUUUAGGAGAAAGUAAGGGAAAAGAACAGAAGUCUCUGCCUAGGAAUCCAGAUAAUUUUUCCAUAUCUUAUCCAACACUACCAAGGUGGUACUACCAAGGUGGUACUGCUACAAGUCUGCAAAGACCAGUGUUACUUGGCUUGGGGCCCAAGUCCCUUGGAAUACUUAAGAAGCCUUCCCAAGAAGGACAGGCAUAAACAAAUCCAGACUGUAAAGACUACAAUAAAUACCUAAUUCUUGAAUGCCCAUACAUUGAUGAACAUCUAUAAGCACCAGCAUCAUCCAGGAGAACAUGAC